CCUACGGGGGGCUGCAGUAGGGAAUAUUGGGCAAUGGAGGCAACUCUGACCCAGCCAUGCCGCGUGCAGGAUGACGGCCCUCUGGGUUGUAAACUGCUUUUAUACGGGAAGAAAAAAUACUACGUGUAGUAUACUGACGGUACCGUAAGAAUAAGGAUCGGCUAACUCCGUGCCAGCAGCCGCGGUAAUACGGAGGAUCCAAGCGUUGUUGGGGUUUAAUGGGGCUAAGGGGUAUUUAGGCGGAAUUUGUGAAAGCCUGCAGCUUAACUGUAGAAUUGCCAUUGAAACUGAAAAUCUUGAAUUUGGUUAAAGUAGGCGGAAUGUAUCAUGUAGCGGUGAAAUGCUUAGAUAUGAUACAGAACACCGAUAGCGAAGGCAGCUUGCUGAACCAAUAUUGACGCUGAGGCACGAAAGCGUGGGGAGCGAACAGGAUUAGAUACCCUGGUAGUC
rnacentral:rRNA from 1 species